AUGAGGCUGCAGGGCUGGCUGACCUCAGUAACAGCUCAGGGGCUGGGAGUGCCCGGGUCUGGGUCCCACAGGCAGCACACGCUUGCCUCAGAGAGUUACUUCCCCUUGGGGAUCACAGGACACACUCAGUCCACUCCCCUCUCUGCAUGUUUCCCCCACCCCCACGUCCUAAGAGCUGGCAGUUCUCAGGGCAGGUGCAGGGUGAUGGGGCUCAAGAAGUGGGAGGAAGACAACCUUGGAGGAAGGAAGAUGGAAGCCUUGCACACGAGACUGGAGCCAUGCAGUGUGGACCGGGCAUGGACACAGGCCUGCGGGAGCCCAGGAUGGGAUGUUGCAGCAAAAGUGUUAGAAAGAACGUCGCUGGGGUUGGAGUCUGACCAGGAUGAACUCAAAAGCCAGGAUCAGCCCAAAUCCAGGAAGAUCAGUGCUCUCCAAAGUAGGACGAAGACCGAGGCUACAUCCCCUGGAGUCGCUGUGAGCUGCAGAGAGGACAGGCAGGAGGAAAUGGUGGAUGAAGAUGAAACUACCUCUGCCAUCAGUGUCACGAGACCAGGGAGUCCCCAAACCCUCCUGUUGUGGCUGCAAAGACAGAGGAGCUGUGUCUACAACACACAGUGGGAAGCCAGUCUGCUCACAGUGGUUUUUGUGUUUUCUGUGUCCUUGAGGACUCGGGGAUCAGUUGGUACAUAG
ensembl:lncRNA